rnacentral:lncRNA from 1 species
AAAGAUCUCAUUUUUUUUACACAAUAGGCAGUGAUAAUUUAUCAUCAAAAAAUAGAAUGAAGCUAAUUAAUGUAAGAUGGUUUUUAGAAUAAAACAGAAGGGGUAUUAAUAUAUUUCCACAUUUGUGUCACAAAGAAAAUGUUUAAUAAAUAUUCAUUAAACAUAUGUGUAAAUUCAUUGAUCAAUUAAAUGAAUUUAUUGAUUGCUAAGAACACCCACUACAACUCAUUUGAUUAUUUGAUUAAGGCACAUCAUAUGUCAACUUCACUAAAAUAAUUCCAUAUUAAUUUUUUGAGUUUGAAUGUACAAAGUGUGGGUUGACUGUCUGUUGGGAAAGGCUACAUGCUGUGAGACACCUGCUUAUAUCAUGGGUACAAGACCAGCUUUUGGAAAGCAUCCACGGCACUUUUUCUAUGCUGUUAAUUUUUUUUUUAACUUUAUAGGUAAACCUGGAUUAUAUAAUCCUUACAGGGCCUAAAAGAGAUGCCUCUAUUGUCAAAGAGGUGAAUGACCAUUUGCCAACCUUCACUCAGGAUAUGGCUGGAAUUUGGAGGCAGAUCCAGGAAGGCCAUGAUUUGUAGCUGCUGAAAGUGAAUGUUCAAGACUCUAAAAAUACAGCACUGCCUACUCAUCUCGCCAGUCUGUUAUUCCCUGUCCUGAGCUCUCAGCCGUGAGUUUGGAGUGCAGGGUAUGUAAGAUGUAGAGAAGAGGAAAGGAUUUGGAGAAGGAAGAUGCAGAAAAGCAAAUUCCGGAGAAAAACGUUGCUAUAGAAUAAGCAUGCCAUGAUUAUAGGCAGCUAAAAUUGUUGGAUGUUCUUGUAAAAUCAUUAAAUCCUAAUUAAUAUUGGAUUAGGUUUGCCACAGUAUGAUGCACCCCAAUGCGUUUCUUCUCAGAUCAGAAAUGCCCAGUCCCCUCCUGCUGGUCUCACAGAUGCUUGUCAAGUAUGCCCAGGUUCUUGUUUGGGAUGUGAAUUUGUAAAGCUUCCAACCCACAGACAACAAGUGUUGAAAACUCAUUCCUGAAUGCCGCCUCAGAGAUAAACAAAGUUGUUAGGUUCCUUGAUGAUCUGACAUUCAGUGAUGGGCUAAUGAUUUUCACUCUCUUUGGGAAAAGAAAUGCUGUGGUGAAGAGCUGUGUUGACGGCUGGUCACAGGCUGUUUUUCUGCUUGUGAAUGCUCCAGAAAGCAUCUUUAAGUCAAAUAAUAAUCACUUUUCAAGCUAAAGUUUACCAAGCGCUUUUUUCCGUAAAUUAUCUUAUUUAAUCCUUAGGACAACUCUGAAAGUUUAAGUCCUAAAAUAUGCUCUCUGCAAGCUGGAGAACCAGGAAAGCCCAUGGUAUAGUCUGGUCCAAGUCCAAAAGCCUGAGAGCCUGGGGAGCCAGUGAUUUAACUCCCAUUCUGAGGCCAAAAGCCUCAGAAGAGUGAAGGGGAGGGCCUGCUGGUGUAGGUCCCAGAGUCUGAGGGCCCAAGAACAAGGAGCUCCAACGUCCGAGGGUAGAAAAUGGAUGUCCCAGCUCAAGAAGAGAGAGAGAAUUUGGACUUCCUCCACCUUUUUGUUUUCUAUCUGGGCCUCAAUGAAUUAGAUGAUGCCUACCCUUGCUGGUAAGGAUAGAUAUUCUUUUCUUUUUUUCUUUUCCUUUUUUUUUUUAUUAUUUUUUUUUUUGAGACGGGGUCUUGCUCUGUUCCCCAGACUGGAGUGCAGUGGCGUGAUCUUGGCUCACUGCAAGCUCCACCUCCCGGGUUCACGCCAUUCUCCUGCCUCAGCCUCCUGAGUAGCUGGGACUACAGGCGCCGGUGACCA